CUCACCAUGGAAAGCAUCUCACCUGAAGACCUGCCGAGACAAGUGGACUUUCUGGAGGCGGUGCGGCAGCAGGUCCAGAAGUUUGAGGUCCAGUACAUCGGAAACCUGUCGGUGUCCAAAGCUAUGGGUAUGGAGGUGUUGAACCGAGCGAUAGAAAACAUCCUGAGCUCCACCGA